rnacentral:rRNA from 1 species
UACGUACCGUGCGAACGUUGUUCGGAAUCACUGGGCUUAAAGGGUGCGUAGGUGGGCGAUCAAGUCAGGGGUGAAAUCCUCCAGCUUAACUGGAGAACUGCCUUUGAUACUGGUCAUCUUGAGUGAGGUAGGGGCGUGCGGAACUGAUGGUGGAGCGGUGAAAUGUGUUGAUAUCAUCAGGAACUCCGGUGGCGAAAGCGGCGCGCUGGACCUUUACUGACGCUGAUGCACGAAGGCCAGGGGAGCAAACGGG